rnacentral:rRNA from 1 species
GUCCGAUUAGCUAGUUGGUGGGGUAAUGGCUCACCAAGGCAACGAUCGGUAGCCGGCCUGAGAGGGCGGACGGCCACACUGGGACUCAGAUACGGCCCAGACUCCUACGGGAGGCAGCAGUGGGGAAUAUUGCACAAUGGGCGCAAGCCUGAUGCAGCAACGCCGCGUGCGGGAUGACGGCCUUCGGGUUGUAAACCGCUUUCAGUUCCGACGAAGCGAAAGUGACGGUAGGAACAGAAGAAGGACCGGCCAACUACGUGCCAGCAGCCGCGGUGAUACGUAGGGUCCGAGCGUUGUCCGGAAUUAUUGGGCGUAAAGGGCUUGUAGGCGGUUUGUCACGUCGAAAGUGAAAACUCAGAGCUUAACUCUGAGCCUGCUUCCGAUACGGGCAAAUUAGAGGGAUGCAGGGGAGAACGGAAUUCCUGGUGGAGCGGUGGAAUGCGCAGAUAUCACGAGGAACACCGGUGGCGAAGGCGGUUCUCUGGGCAUUUCCUGACGCUGAGAAGCGAAAGCGUGGGGAGCAAACAGGCUUAGAUACCCUGGUAGUCCACGCCGUAAACGGUGGGCACUAGUGUGGGGGACAUUCCACGUUCUCCGUGCCGAAGCUAACGCAUUAAGUGCCCCGCCUGGGGAGUACGGCCGCAAGGCUAAA